rnacentral:lncRNA from 1 species
GCUUGACAAGCUAGGUGGAGGCUUGGAAAGGAAGCGGGUCAAACGAAGUAAGAAUGGCGGAAAAGCAUAAUUCGGAUGCAAGACACUUACAUUUAAAGAUGGCAAAGGUUAAACAAAUGCAAGAUGUGAUAGAGGAACAGUCCGAGGCAUGACAAGAGGAACAUGCCCAUCAAGGACUAAAUCGCGUAACGACCGCGAACAAGACUAAUGGCAAGAGAAGCCCGUUAGGGCAAGCAUUAUCAGGUGCACGUUUUAAAUCAUUGCAUAAAUAGUAAUAUGCAACAGAUAUGUAGAGAUUGAAAGUUGCAUAUGUAGAUUGAAAACUUGGAAAGACCUGAAUAGAAAACCUAUCCGGGAUAUUGUUUCCAAGAAAAACAGAUAGAGGUAUUACUUACAUAGGGCGUGAUGUGAAAACUGUAAAAAGGUCAUGCGUGUCAUGUGUUAAUUGCUUACUCUGGCCAAGUAAGUAGCGGCAUAUGAUACCAUGAACUUCUUAUGGCGAACACGUUUACAUCCGAUGUAGUAAGGGCAGGGUGAAUGGGACUAAUUGAAAAGUACCCAAAUGAAUCAGAUAAGCAAAAUAUUUGAUAAUAAUGUAAACGCACAACCAAGUGACGGGAGCGUAUUACAUUAGGAUAAUGAGCCCGGGUGAAGGGACAAACAAGCACGUAAAAUGAUUUAGACAAGUAUUGGGAGGGAGUGAUACUUACACUCGAACCCAGAAACCAUCAAGCAUAUAAAAUGAUUUAGACAAGUAUUGGGAGGGAGUGUACUUACACUCGAACCCAGAAAACAUCAAGCAUGUAAAAUGAUUUAGACAAGUAUUGGGAGGGAGUGUACUUACACUCGAACCCAGAAAACAUCAAGCAUGUAAAACGAUUUAGAAAAAUAUUGGGAGGGAGUGAUACUUACACUCGAACCCGGAGAAUGUAAACAUGUAAGAUGAGUUAGAUAUGCAUUGGGAGGGGGUGUACUUACACUCGAACCCGGAAAAUGAAAAUAUGUUCCUUAACGGGUCAUUUUUGUAAAACGUCGAACUUAAAGAUAAAGUCAGAAUAUAAAAACCGAAGCGAAGUCUUAAUGCAUACCGGGAGGGUUGCAAUAAUAACAAUUUCGGUAAAACACCCGGUGGAUGGGUAAGAAUUAAACAUAUGCGUAAACCAAGAGACGUGAACGCGGGUUGAAAGAUCAAGGUAACGCGGAUUACGAGUUAUGACUAUAAAAUCUCGUAUAUAGAAAUUGUGAGUAAAUAUGUUCAACUAUUCGAAGUCGAAUGGGUCAAAUAAAGAAUAAAGUUGAUUGUUUAUAAGUGAUGGAUUUCACAUUAAUAGGUCAAACAUGUUGAAUACAAUAUAACGCCGAAUGGCACAAACGAGCACUAGCCAGAUAAAGGCAGUGUUAAAUGCAAGAGAAUAAUGAGCCCGGCAAUGGGACAUAAUCAAACACGAAUGUAUAUAAACUAGAUAAUGGUGAGCAUAAGAUAAACCGACGCAUAAAUGACGUGAGAAAUCAUAAAGUCGGAAAAUGUGCCCGAAAAGAAACGAAUGUAGCCUUAGACUACGGUCAAGGUCAAAGAUAAUAUCAAAACGAUAAUAAAUGAUGUUAAGCAAAAACAUGGUGCCUUAACGCCGUAUGCGUAUAUAAAUGUAUACACAUUUGAAGGAAGAUUCGAAUAAAAGAUGAUCUACGGGAUCAUCAUAACCUACGAGGUAUUAAUUAGAGCAAAAGGUCUACGGGGCCAAAACGACCCACGGGUCAU